GACUAACGCUGGCAGUGUGCCUUACACAUGCAAGUCGGACGGAGGACUUCGGUCCUUAGUGGCAAACGGGUGAGUAACGGAUAGGUAAUCUACCGGGAAGAGGGGGAUACCCCUUCGAAAGAAGGAUCAAUACCCCGUACGCUCCUUACGGAGGAAAGGUGGUGCAAGCCACCGCUUCCUGAUGAGCCUAUCUCCUAUCAGCUAGUUGGUAAGGUAAUGGCUUACCAAGGCUAUGACGGGUAGCUGGUCUGAGAGGAUGAUCAGCCACACUGGAACUGAGACACGGUCCAGACUCCUACGGGUGGCAG
rnacentral:rRNA from 1 species